rnacentral:tRNA from 1 species
GGAGAGGUGGCCGAGUGGCUUAAGGCGACGGUUUGCUAAAUCGUUGUAGGCCAAAACCUACCGGGGGUUCGAAUCCCCCCCUCUCCG